GAUGAACGCUGGCGGCGUGCCUAAUACAUGCAAGUCGAGCGAACAGACGAGGAGCUUGCUCCUCUGACGUUAGCGGCGGACGGGUGAGUAACACGUGGAUAACCUACCUAUAAGACUGGGAUAACUUCGGGAAACCGGAGCUAAUACCGGAUAAUAUAUUGAACCGCAUGGUUCAAUAGUGAAAGACGGUUUUGCUGUCACUUAUAGAUGGAUCCGCGCCGCAUUAGCUAGUUUGUAAGGUAACGGCUUACCAAGGCAACGAUGCGUAGCCGACCUGAGAGGGUGAUCGGCCACACUGGAACUGAGACACGGUCCAGACUCCUACGGGAGGCAGCAGUAGGGAAUCUUCCGCAAUGGGCGAAAGCCUUACGGGGCAACGCCGCGUGAGUGAUGAAGGUCUUCGGAUCGUAAAACUCUGUUAUUAGGGAAGAACAAAUGUGUAAGUAACUAUGCACGUCUUGACGGUACCUAAUCAGAAAGCCACGGCUAACUACGUG
rnacentral:rRNA from 1 species